rnacentral:rRNA from 1 species
GCGACGAUCAGUAGCGGGUCUGAGAGGAUGAUCCGUCACACUGGAACUGAGACACGGUCCAGACUCCUACGGGAGGCAGCAGUGGGGAAUUUUGGACAAUGGGGGCAACCCUGAUCCAGCCAUUCCGCGUGAGUGAAGAAGGCCUUCGGGUUGUAAAGCUCUUUCAGCCGGAACGAAACGGUAUUCCUUAAUACGGGAUGCUAAUGACGGUACCGGCAGAAGAAGCACCGGCUAACUACGUGCCAGCAGCCGCGGUAAUACGUAGGGUGCGAGCGUUAAUCGGAAUUACUGGGCGUAAAGCGUGCGCAGGCGGAUUGUUAAGCAAGAUGUGAAAUCCCCGGGCUUAACCUGGGAAUGGCAUUUUGAACUGGCAGUCUAGAGUGUGUCAGAGGGGGGUGGAAUUCCACGUGUAGCAGUGAAAUGCGUAGAUAUGUGGAGAAACACCAAUGGCGAAGGCAGCCCCCUGGGAUAACACUGACGCUCAUGUACGAAAGCGUGGGUAGCAAACAGGAUUAGAUACCCUGGUAGUCCACGCCCUAAACGAUGUCAACUGGUUGUUGGGGGAGUGAAAUCCCUUAGUAACGAAGCUAACGCGUGAAGUUGACCGCCUGGGGAGUACGGUCGCAAGAUUAAAACUCAAAGGAAUUGACGGGGACCCGCACAAGCGGUGGAUGAUGUGGAUUAAUUCGAUGCAACGCGAAAAACCUUACCUACCCUUGACAUGUCCAGAAUCCUGCAGAGAUGCGGGAGUGCCCGAAAGGGAAUUGGAACACAGGUGCUGCAUGGCUGUCGUCAGCUCGUGUCGUGAGAUGUUGGGUUAAGUCCCGCAACGAGCGCAACCCUUAUCAUUAGUUGCUACGCAAGGGCACUCUAAUGAGACUGCCGGUGACAAACCGGAGGAAGGUGGGGAUGACGUCAAGUCCUCAUGGCCCUUAUGGGUAGGGCUUCACACGUCAUACAAUGGUCGGUACAGAGGGUUGCCAAGCCGCGAGGUGGAGCCAAUCCCAGAAAGCCGAUCGUAGUCCGGAUUGUUCUCUGCAACUCGAGAGCAUGAAGUCGGAAUCGCUAGUAAUCGCGGAUCAGAAUGUCGCGGUGAAUACGUUCCCGGGUCUUGUACACACCGCCCGUCACACCAUGGGAGUGGAAUCUGCCAGAAGUAGGUAGCCUAACCGCAAGGAGGGCGCUUACCACGGUGGGUUUCAUGACUGGGGUGAAGUCGAAACAAGGUA